GAUGAAGAACGCAGCGAAAUGCGAUAAGUAAUGUGAAUUGCAGAAUUCAGUGAAUCAUCGAAUCUUUGAACGCACAUUGCGCCCGCCAGUAUUCUGGCGGGCAUGCCUGUCCGAGCGUCAUUUCAACCCUCGAACCCCUCCGGGGGGUCGGCGUUGGGGAUCGGCCCUCCCUUAGCGGGUGGCCGUCUCCGAAAUACAGUGGCGGUCUCGCCGCAGCCUCUCCUGCGCGGUAGUUUGCACACUCGCAUCGGGAGCGCGGCGCGUCCACAGCCGUUAAACACCCAACUUCUGAAAUGUUGACCUCGGAUCAGGUAGGAAUACCCGCUGAACUUAAGCAUAUCAAUAAGCGGAGGA
rnacentral:misc_RNA from 1 species